rnacentral:rRNA from 1 species
ACUCCUACGGGAGGCAGCAGUGGGAAUAUUGCACAAUGGGCGCAAGCCUGAUGCGCAGCCAUGCCGCGUGAUGUAGCAAGAAUGGGCCUUCGGGUUGAUGAAGCACUUUCAGUUGUGAGGAAAGGUUAGUCGCUAAUAUCGGCUAGCUGUGACGUUAGCAACAGAAGAAGCACCGGCUAACUCCGUGCCAGCAGCCGCGGUAAUACGGAGGGUGCGAGCGUUAAUCGGAAUUACUGGGCGUAAAGCGCGUGUAGGUGGCUUGUUAAGCCAGAUGUGAAAGCCCGC